UGGGGAAUUUUGCGCAAUGGGGGAAACCCUGACGCAGCAACGCCGCGUGGAGGAUGAAAUAUCUUGGUAUGUAAACUCCUUUCGAUGGGGAAGAUUAUGACGGUACCCAUAGAAGAAGCCCCGGCUAACUUCGUGCCAGCAGCCGCGGUAAUACGAGGGGGGCAAGCGUUGUUCGGAUUUAUUGGGCGUAAAGGGUGCGUAGGCGGUUUGGCAAGUCUGAUGUGAAAUCUAUGGGCUCAACCCAUAGUCUGCAUCAGAAACUGCCGGGCUUGAGUAUGGGAGAGGUGAGUGGAAUUUCCGGUGUAGCGGUGAAAUGCGUAGAUAUCGGAAGGAACACCUGUGGCGAAAGCGGCUCACUGGACCAUAACUGACGCUGAUGCACGAAAGCUAGGGGAGCAAACAGGAUUAGAUACCCCCGUAGUCC
rnacentral:rRNA from 1 species